UACGGAGGGGGCAAGCGUUGUUCGGAAUUACUGGGCGUAAAGGGCGCGUAGGCGGCCUGUUAAGUCGGACGUGAAAUCCCCGGGCUCAACCCGGGAACUGCGUCCGAUACUGGCAGGCUUGAAUUCGGGAGAGGGAUGCGGAAUUCCAGGUGUAGCGGUGAAAUGCGUAGAUAUCUGGAGGAACACCGGUGGCGAAGGCGGCAUCCUGGACCGAGAUUGACGCUGAGGCGCGAAAGCCAGGGGAGCAAACGGG
rnacentral:rRNA from 1 species